GGUUACGAUCAUACCAGCACUAAUGCACCGGAUCCCAUCAGAACUCCGCAGUUAAGCGUGCUUGGGCGAGAGUAGUACUAGGAUGGGUGACCCCCUGGGAAGUCCUCGUGUUGCAACCC
rnacentral:rRNA from 1 species